rnacentral:rRNA from 1 species
GAUGAACGCUGACAGAAUGCUUAACACAUGCAAGUCAACUUGAAUUUGGGUUUUUUAACUUAGAUUUGGGUGGCGGACGGGUGAGUAACGCGUAAAGAACUUGCCUCACAGCUAGGGACAACAUUUGGAAACGAAUGCUAAUACCUGAUAUUAUGAUUAUAAGGCAUCUUAGACUUAUGAAAGCUAUAUGCGCUGUGAGAGAGCUUUGCGUCCCAUUAGCUAGUUGGAGAGGUAACGGCUCACCAAGGCGAUGAUGGGUAGCCGGCCUGAGAGGGUGAACGGCCACAAGGGGACUGAGACACGGCACUUACUCCUACGGGAGGCAGCAGUGGGGAAUAUUGGACAAUGGACCAAGAGUCUGAUCCAGCAAUUCUGUGUGCACGAUGACGUUUUUCGGAAUGUAAAGUGCUUUCAGUUGGGAAGAAAAAAAUGACGGUACCAACAGAAGAAGUGACGGCUAAAUACGUG